rnacentral:rRNA from 1 species
CCUACGGGAGGCAGCAGUAGGGAAUCUUCCACAAUGGGCGAAAGCCUGAUGGAGCAACGCCGCGUGGGUGAAGAAGGUCUUCGGAUCGUAAAACCCUGUUGUUAGAGAAGAAAGUGCGUGAGAGUAACUGUUCACGUUUCGACGGUAUCUAACCAGAAAGCCACGGCUAACUACGUGCCAGCAGCCGCGGUAAUACGUAGGUGGCAAGCGUUAUCCGGAUUUAUUGGGCGUUAAGGGAACGCAGGCGGUCUUUUAAGUCUGAUGGGAAAGCCUUCGGGUUAACCGGAGUAGUGCAUUGGAAACGGGGAGACUUGAGGGCAGAAGAGGAGAGUGGAACUCGAUGUGUAGCGGUGAAAUGCGUAGAUAUAUGGAAGAACACCAGUGGCGAAAGCGGCUAUCUGGUCUGUAACUGACGCUGAGGUUCGAAAGCGUGGGUAGCAAACAGGAUUAGAUACCCGGGUAGUC